GAUGAACGCUAGCGGGAGGCCUAACACAUGCAAGCCGAGCGGUAUUUCUUCUUCGGAAGAGAGAGAGCGGCGUACGGGUACGGAACACGUGUGCAACCUGCCUUUAUCUAGAGGAUAGCCUUUCGAAAGGAAGAUUAAUACUCUAUAAUAUAUUAAUUGGCAUCAAUUGAUAUUGAAAACUCCGGUGGAUAGAGAUGGGCACGCGCAAGAUUAGCUAGUUGGUGAGGUAACGGCUCACCAAGGCAAUGAUCUUUAGGGGGCCUGAGAGGGUGAUCCCCCACACUGGUACUGAGACACGGACCAGACUCCUACGGGAGGCAGCAGUGAGGAAUAUUGGUCAAUGGGUGCAAGCCUGAACCAGCCAUCCCGCGUGACGGAUUAAGGUCCUAUGGAUUGUAAACUUCUUUUGUAUAGGGAUAAACCUACCCUCGUGAGGGUAGCUGAAGGUACUAUACGAAUAAGCACCGGCUAACUCCGUGCCAGCCGCCGCUGUAAUAC
rnacentral:rRNA from 1 species